rnacentral:misc_RNA from 1 species
GUGAAUCAUCAAAUUUUUGAACGCAAAUUGCACUCUCCUCGGAGAGUAUGCCUGUUUGAGGGUCAGCCUAUAAAAAAUCGACAUCGUUGCUGUUUCGCGGUGGCGUUCGUCGGAAAUUGGGUCAUCUUAAAUCCUUUUGGUUUUUAAGCGACUUAAAAUUUUCUUUUUGGUUCCAUGUACGUUUCUAAGAUUUAUUUUUUUACACGUUUAAGGUAUCGAUUUGUAUUAGACGUGACUAUCAUGUCGGAUCGCGUCAAUAAUAUUUCAUUAACUGACCUCAGACAGGUAAGAGUACCCG